rnacentral:rRNA from 1 species
CCUACGGGCGGCAGCAGUGAGGAAUAUUGGUCAAUGGACGCAAGUCUGAACCAGCCAUGCCGCGUGCAGGAAGACGGCUCUAUGAGUUGUAAACUGCUUUUGUACGAGGGUAAACGCAGAUACGUGUCUCUGUCUGAAAGUAUCGUACGAAUAAGGAUCGGCUAACUCCGUGCCAGCAGCCGCGGUAAUACGGAGGAUUCAAGCGUUAUCCGGAUUUAUUGGGUUUAAAGGGUGCGUAGGCGGUCGGGUAAGUUAGAGGUGAAAUCCCGAGGCUCAACUUCGGAAUUGCCUCUGAUACUGGCAGGCUAGAGUGUAGGUGCGGUAGGCGGAAUGUAUGGUGUAGCGGUGAAAUGCUUAGAGAUCAUACAGAACACCGAUUGCGAAGGCAGCUUGCCGGGCUACUACUGACGUUGAGGCACGAAAGCGUGGGGAGCAAACAGGAUUAGAUACCCGUGUAGUC